UACGGAGGAGGCAAGCGUUAUCCGGAAUUAUUGGGCGUAAAGCGUCCGUAGGUGGUUUAGUAAGUCUGCUGUUAAAGCGCGGGGCUUAACUCCGUAUCGGCAGUGGAAACUACUAGACUAGAGUGUGGUAGGGGUAGAGGGAAUUCCCGGUGUAGCGGUGAAAUGCGUAGAUAUUGGGAAGAACACCGGUGGCGAAGGCGCUCUACUGGGCCAUAACUGACACUGAUGGACGAAAGCUAGGGGAGCGAAAGGG
rnacentral:rRNA from 1 species